GCCAGCAUGGUUUAGUGGUUUGAGCCUUGGACUAUAACACUAAAGACCAGGGUUUGAAUCCCAGCUUGACC